AGAGUUUGAUCAUGGCUCAGAGCGAACGCUGGCGGCAGGCUUAAUACAUGCAAGUCGAGCGGGCGUAGCAAUACGUCAGCGGCAGACGGGUGAGUAACGCGUGGGAACGUGCCCUUUGGUUCGGAACAACCCAGGGAAACUUGGGCUAAUACCGAAUACGCCCUUACGGGGAAAGAUUUAUCGCCGAAGGAUCGGCCCGCGUCUGAUUAGCUAGUUGGUGAGGUAAUGGCUCACCAAGGCGACGAUCAGUAGCUGGUCUGAGAGGAUGAUCAGCCACACUGGGACUGAGACACGGCCCAGACUCCUACGGGAGGCAGCAGUAGGGAAUAUUGGACAAUGGGGGCAACCCUGAUCCAGCCAUGCCGCGUGAGUGAUGAAGGCCUUAGGGUUGUAAAGCUCUUUUGUGCGGGAAGAUAAUGACGGUACCGCAAGAAUAAGCCCCGGCUAACUUCGUGCCAGCAGCCGCGGUAAUACGAAGGGGGCUAGCGUUGCUCGGAAUCACUGGGCGUAAAGCGCACGUAGGCGGACUCUUAAGUCGGGGGUGAAAUCCUGGAGCUCAACUCCAGGACUGCCCUCGAUACUGGGAGUCUUGAGUUCGGGAGAGGUGAGUGGAACUGCGAGUGUAGAGGUGAAAUUCGUAGAUAUUCGCAAGAACACCAGUGGCGAAGGCGGCUCACUGGCCCGAUACUGACGCUGAUGUGCGAAAGCGUGGGGAGCAAACAGGAUUAGAUACCCUAGUAGUCC
rnacentral:rRNA from 1 species